rnacentral:lncRNA from 1 species
AAAGGAGAAGAAGAAGAUGUUUGGCCUGAAAGUAAGAAAGAAGAAGGAUAUCCCAGACCUGGUCCUGGCAAACAAGGGAGCUGUGGAAAGUGAAGGGGAGGUGCCUGCUGAAGUGCCUGUGCUGCCAGAGGAAGAGCGCAUGGAGGAUCAGCCUGAAGUCAGAUCCAGAAUUAUCCUGAACAGAAAGAGGUGGGAUACAUCAAUCCAAGUGAAAUCAUCUUUUGUUUUAGGAGUUAAAAAGUCCAAACAUGUUGCUGAAAUUAGCAGAAUUUAAUAAAAAAGACGCAAUCAUUUAAAAACUGGAGCCACCUGUUGGUCCAUUAGGAAAAUCAUAACCACCAGUUAAUAUUUCAUGCCAACUGCUUACCAAAUGAUUAGUUCUCAUCACCUAUUUUGGCCGUUUAGGGUUCACGUUUGGACAGCAAAUCUUCAUCAGUUUCCUGUACUCAUCUUGUUAAGUACCCUGUACUUGCCUCUACUUACCUCUAUAAAUGCUUCAUAAGUAACCCUGUAAGUACUAAAGGGUAUCAUGUUUUGCUGCCAAAACAUUUGUUGAAAAAUGUAAGAGAAGUAUUUUUUAAAGUUCGUCAGCACAUUUGCUUUCAUUUGAACUACUCUGUUAUUUUACUUCAGUGAUUUUUAAAAGUAUAUUUUACAGUCUCCUGUCUGGGAACAGGCAGGUUUCCUGGGUUAGCCGGACGCAUGGACCGGUGGGCUGUUGUCAUGCUGGUCAUUGGUGGAUCUCUGAGAGAGACCACAGAAACGCUGCAGCUCUUCUUGUUGACUCUGCUUCACUUUUGAGUCACUCAACUGCCUUUCUCUCGCUAAUAGUUUGCUGGUUGAAUGGGGCAAAAUUCUAUGCAUUUACCACAACACUACUUGGUUUAAGAUGAGUUGAAAUAAAAUGUGUUGGUGUGGCUGUUGUGUAAAUAAAACUAGAGCAACAUAUCUGACCAAAGAUAGCGGAGGCUAUCGGGCUUCACUGUUCUGCUGCGGUCAAAGAUCCGUGAGUCCGCCGUUGUCGACGGUCCCAGUGUACUGCGACAUGGCUCUUGGCUCAGUGUCAAUACAGUGCCGGUAGCCGAGUCGACGCUCUCAGAGACGGGAUCGUCCACAAUGGCUGAAUCACGGAUGUUUGACCGUGGUGGACCAGCGAAGGCCUAUGUCCUCGGUCAGCUUAAUUAGUUAUUACUAAGUUAUUAGUUGCCACUAAGCAGGCUGGAGGUGCCUUCACUUUGGAGUCACUCUACCACGUAUUUCUUGCUAAAAAAAAACUUUGUUAGCUUCGAGUUAGCAUGUAGCUAAUAUCCUGUUGAUCUCCGACCAUGGAGCGUGAGCUGAUGUAAAAAAAAAAAACAGCACCCGGCUAUGAUCUGUCAUGUUCUGUGUUCCUUUGUUCCCCAGCCCCUCCAGUUCCCACUCCAGGUUCUCCUUUUGUGUUUCAUAGUGCCCUCAUGUGUCCUUUGUCUGCGUCUCAUUUAUGUGUCUCUUUGUGUUCCUCAUUUGUCCCCUGGUCUUCAGCCUUCCAAAUAUAUCUCUCAGGUCCUGUGUUCCUUUAGUCUUCUCCAGUCACCCCUCUGCAGUGUUUAUAGUUUCAGCUUUUCAUUUUAUUAGUCUCUUUUAUAUGUUUUGUUCCACCAGUCUUUGUAGUUCUCCUUUCCUUUAGAAUAUUAGUUAUGUGGUUGCUUUUCUUGUUUUUAGGUUUUUUCUUAGGUCAUGUGAGUUCCCUCCCUUAUUAAGUGUUGCUUUCACCUGGUCCUCUCCCCACACACCUGCAGCUCAUCUGCCUCCCAUCAUGCCCCAGUUUAUUUAAGCCCUGUCUUGUCUUAGUGGCUUGUCGGUCCAUUGUUGUUUGUUCAGUGUUGUUUUGGUGCUCUGUGUAAGUUUCCGGUCUCAUUCCCAGUCUGUGCUCUAAGUGAGCUUUUUUUCCUGUUCCUGGAUCUUCGGUUUUUGGCUCCCUGCCUUUUUGGAUUUAUUUUUAUUUUGGACUCAUCCUAAAAUAAAAGGAUUUUCUUUAUAUCAACUCCUGCCUCGUGUCAUCCUGGGUAUCUGCAUUUUGGGUCCAAACCAUCCUCUCAUCGUGUCACGAUCAGAGGUCUGAAGCUCUGCUCAUAAUUUAACUGUCCCAGUCCAUAUUAGAUCUCCACAGGUGACCACCAUGACUAUAGCCUCGCACCGUAGCAAGUCGGCCGAGCGGGUGGACUACCCCGGUCAACUGGAGCCCCUUCUUAUUUUCUUGGGUUAGCUAAGUUAGCUAGUAGAGACAUUGGUUCAUUUGUUUCAACCAUGGUUCCAACCGUAACAGCCCCACCCUCAGCUCCACCUCUUUUCCACUUUUUGGAUUGUCUUGGCGUGACGAGAUGUGUGACACAGUCAAAAUGGCCAUGGUGGGAACCUCACAUGUGGAAACAAAAACUAAUAAUUCGAGCCUAUGGAAAUGUCCAGUAUACAGUAUAUAUCGAUGGUGACAACUGGUUUGAUUUGGGAGCUAACCUUAGUUGUUGAAUUUUUACUGAUGAUAUUUUUACAUUGAAACUUUGUCCCAUGAAGUAGAGGGAGACAGACAUGAACAAGGUUGUGGUAGAUGGUUCCAUCUGGACUCAAAACCCAAGGUUACAAGGUGACCAGAAAUAAAAAGGACCAGUUUGUCCGAGAGAUAACUAACUGUUAAAACAAACACAAAUUUCUGGUAAAACAUAGAAAAUAAACUUCCAGGUUUGGGGUAGAUUAGCAAAAGCGAGUUUGGGAGGUCUGACUCUAUUUUUGGGGCUUUGGUUGUUGGUUUGUGGAAUUUGAGGAAAAAUGCUAUUUUCAGUUGAUUGUGUCACCUUAGAACUUGGUCACAAGCUCCAAGGUGCUUGGUCACACAUUGUUUGCACUGACCCUGUGUGGGUCUAACUGGCACUAAAGUCAGGUGUCAUGUGUUGGUACAGAACACACAGCAGAUGGAAGGAGGACUGAUCACUCAAGCACGUCCUGGCUCUGUUUGUCUUUGGCGUUACUGUUUUUCCUGGGUGACAGAUUUUUUUAUUUUUGUGUUAUGAUGAUAAAAGGGAGCUGCAUCAGUGAAGCACAGUUGUGUGUGUGUGUGUGUGUGUGUUUGUGUUUGUUUGGUAUGUGAGUGCACGUGCCUGUAUGUGCAUGUGUGUAUGCACUUCUGUUAGGACAAAUAUCAGAGGAUUAAGAGGACAACUUUUUUUAACACUUUCCCACACACAGCCAGUUUAAGGUGCACACAUGUAAAAGUAUGACUGAAAACAUGGUCAUAUAACAAAUCUAAAAUGUAAACUGAAACAUAAAGUAAACAUAAUUUAAAUGUCACAUGUUGAGGUAUCAGGAUUAGCUAGUUUAAUGUAAAGGUGCUGUAGUUCACUAAUUGUCCAGCAGAAUGACUGUUAGUGUGACCUCAUAGCAGCAACAUUCAUUUCUGUGAUGGCUCUUACAUAAACGCUGUUUAACAUCCUGGUGGUGUGUGUUUAUUGUCCUGUAUCAUUUACCAGACUGAAGAAGUCUGAAGAGACGGUUAGCAGGGUGGGUUGAGUCCUUUAGGAUGUUUGUGGUUUUUUGAAGGCAGCGAAUGGUGAAGAUGUCAUCCAGGGCAGACAGGUGUGUGUCUGUUAUUUUCUCUGUAGUUUUGAUUACUCUCUGCAGGGCCUUCCUGUCAGCUGCAGAGCUGAUGCUGUACCACACCAGGAUGCUGUUGGUCAGGACACUCUAUGGAGCAGUGAUACAACCACACCAGCAGUUUUUGUGGCAGGUUGAUCUUCCUGAGAGCUUUAAGGAAGUAUAGCCGUUGUUGUACCUUCUUUAUCAGACAUUUGGUGUUGUGCCCAUAUGAGGUCCUCUGAUAUGUUUGUGCUCAGGAACUUGAACUGUAACACCCUCUGCACCUGCUCCCUAUUUAUUGUGAGUGACUGAUGCUCCACCUUUUUCUUCUUGGGUCAACGUUGAUUUCUUUGGUUUUGUUGGUGUUCAGGGUCAGGUUGUUAGCUGUGCACCAGUCCAUUAUCUCUGCCUGACCCAAACACAGUCUUGUUAUCCUAAUCUGACGCCAAGGCAGCCUUGAACUGCCAACAA